AGUGAACAGAGACAAGCCUGCAAGAAGCAUGAACUUUACGUGAGCUUCCGUGACUUAGGAUGGCAGGAUUGGAUUAUUGCUCCAGAGGGCUAUGCAGCCUUUUAUUGUGAUGGAGAAUGUUCAUUUCCACUCAAUGCACAUAUGAAUGCGACAAACCAUGCGAUUGUGCAGACCUUGGUCCAUCUGAUGUUUCCUGAUAAUGUGCCAAAGCCUUGCUGUGCACCGACCAAACUGAAUGCCAUAUCAGUGCUGUAUUUUGAUGACAGCUCAAAUGUAAUUCUGAAGAAGUACAGGAAUAUGGUGGUGAGGUCCUGUGGAUGUCAUUGAGGACAGAUGAGCUUCUGUGUCAUAUUGCUGGAAUAACAUAUCAAAAGAAAUAGUUUUUGACAUUUGAUGUACAGUAUUAUGUAUAUAUUAGCUCAUAAUUCCUCUUAUUUAUUUGGCUUUGUUUUUUAAUAACAAUUUUUUAUAUGAGAGAUGUAGAUGAGUUACCACUCUUUACCACUGAUCCAUAGCUGAUUGCUCUUUCUCUGAAAAUAUCUGAAUAAGUUAGAGAGAGUUUUACAGGAUCAAGUAUAAUUUCCUGUCUUUAGAUUACGUCAAAUUCAUAAACAACCACUCCAAAACAGAACUGCUGCUAUUUUACAAAAUAAGUGUAAAUGCCUUAAACUCUAAGUCACCUAAAUACUUUUUUUUUAUGUGGGGAAAAACAGCCAUAUUGGAUUUUGCAAACAAAUGUUUUUCUUUGUUACUGAAAUUAUUGUGGUGUUGUUGUAAAAGCACUGAGUCCUAGGACUAUACAUAUUUCCUGAAAUAGCCCAAGGUAUUGCAGCCCACAAUUACUGUUCCAUAUUAGUUUGCUUUAGAUAUCAGUGGGUGGAUAUGCAAAAUUAAGUUUGAUUUUUUUCUGCUUCAAGCAAAUAUUCUUCUUCCCUAUAUACACUUGUAUUAGUACUCUGAGUA